rfam:Brassica oleracea var. oleracea cultivar TO1000 chromosome C3, whole genome shotgun sequence
GGGUUCUUAGCGGAACCCGUCUCUUAACUUUUAACUAAAAAAACUAAGAACUGGUUCUUAAAUAAGAGUUUUAAGAACCGGUUCUUAGCUUUUUAGUUAAAAAUUAAGAGACGGAUUCUUAUAUUCC